GGGAGCAGUAUGAUGAUUUGUUGAGCUCGGGCCAGCAGGCCUUCCUAUUGGAGGAGAGUGAUGAGAGCCCGGAUGUGUUCAAGCUGAGUGUAGGUAGUCUGCCUCCAGGGAAGAAGGCCUCUGUCAGCCUGGACUAUGUGACAGAGCUGGCUGUACAGGCUGACGAUGGCCUGAGGCUCUGCCUUCCAGCUGUGCUCAACCCCCGCUAUCAACCCCAGGGGUCAGACAAUGGCAGUGGUGUCAGUGCCCUGGUGUCCUCGGUGCCUGCUGGUUCUGUGCCUUACCGUCUGUCCCUCAGUGCCCAUGCGUCGUCCCCUCAUCCCAUCUGUAGACUAGAGUCCAACUGUCCCUAGGACCCACUCAACUACCUCAACACAGAGAAAACCCAAACCACGCACGGUAAAUACUGACCAGCAUCAACCAAAGUUAGCAACAGUCUGAUGGAGGCGCAGUAUCCAACAUGGAGUGAGUGUGCAGCAGGCAAACCCAGUGCUGCUACUGGUCCCUCCUCAUCUACAGUUGUGAUACAGACACUCCAGUCAGUCUGGCUGCAGGUCAUCAGUUUGACCGGGACGUUGAGCUGUUGUUGUAUUACCAAGACACCCAUCAGCCUACUGCUAUAGUAGAGGCAGCACAGACUUCU